UCCAGCCUGAUUCGAGCUUCCUGGACAGCCACAAGGCAUGCCUUGGCCGCCAUUGAGCAGAAUGCCGCUGGUGGCCAGCAGCGACAGAGUGCCGUCUCAGCGGAUAAGGGAGUAUCAAGCGAGACAUCAUCAUCAUCAAGCGAGCAUGGGAGUUUUUCCUGCAAGCAAGGUGAUCGACGAGGACUACUGCGGACCAAUGGGAGUCGUGCUCUUCAACUACUCGGAGGUAGACUUCACCGUGAAGCCCCGCGACCGCGUCAUAUAGAUUAUCGUCCAGGUGAUUAUGACGCAGGAGGUCCCCGGGGUGGAGAACCUCGACGCCACCGUCUAGUCACCAGGUGGUGGACGACGCCAUUGUCCGGAGUUCCUCAAGGUGGAGGACCUCGACGCUUUGUACAUACAUCUAGAGAAGUGGUCUGGUUAGGUUGGUGGUGAAACGCUAGGGAAGGUACCAACCUUUUGAUGAUGGUUGUGUGCGUCCUCAUGAUCUCUUCGAGUUGAGAUGUUCAAUGUUGCAUCCAUGAACACUGCUAGUGUUAAGAUGGUUCUGUGAAAUUUA